UACGAGGGGGGCAAGCGUUGUUCGGAAUUAUUGGGCGUAAAGGGCGCGUAGGCGGUGCGGUAAGUCACCUGUGAAAUCUCCGGGCUUAACUCGGAGCCUGCAGGCGAAACUGCCGUGCUUGAGUGUGGGAGAGGUGCGUGGAAUUCCCGGUGUAGCGGUGAAAUGCGCAGAUAUCAGGAGGAACACCGAUGGCGAAGGCAGCCCCCUGGGAUAACACUGACGCUCAUGCACGAAAGCGUGGGGAGCAAACAGG
rnacentral:rRNA from 1 species